rnacentral:tRNA from 1 species
GGGCCUGUGGUUUAGUGGUAUAACGUUGCUUUCACAGAGCAAAGGUCACCGGUUCAAAUCCGGUCAGGCCCA